rnacentral:rRNA from 1 species
UACAGAGGUCUCAAGCGUUGUUCGGAUUCAUUGGGCGUAAAGGGUGCGUAGGUGGCGCUGUAAGUCGGGUGUGAAAUUUCGGAGCUUAACUCCGAAACUGCAUUCGAUACUGCGGUGCUUGAGGACUGGAGAGGAGACUGGAAUUCAUGGUGUAGCAGUGAAAUGCGUAGAGAUCAUGAGGAAGACCAGUGGCGAAGGCGGCAUCCUGGACCAUAACUGACGCUGAGGCGCGAAAGCUAGGGGAGCAAACGGG